rnacentral:rRNA from 1 species
GAUGAACGCUGGCGGCGUGCCUAAUACAUGCAAGUCGAGCGAACGGAUGAGAAGCUUGCUUCUCUGAUGUUAGCGGCGGACGGGUGAGUAACACGUGGAUAACCUACCUAUAAGACUGGGAUAACUUCGGGAAACCGGAGCUAAUACCGGAUAAUAUUUUGAACCGCAUGGUUCAAAAGUGAAAGACGGUCUUGCCGUCACUUAUAGAUGGAUCCGCGCUGCAUUAGCUAGUUGGUAAGGUAACGGCUUACCAAGGCAACGAUGCAUAGCCGACCUGAGAGGGUGAUCGGCCACACUGGAACUGAGACACGGUCCAGACUCCUACGGGAGGCAGCAGUAGGGAAUCUUCCGCGAUGGGCGAAAGCCUGACGGAGCAACGCCGCGUGAGUGAUGAAGGUCUUCGGAUCGUAAAACUCUGUUAUUAGGGAAGAACAUAUGUGUAAGUAACUGUGCACAUCUUGACGGUACCUAAUCAGAAAGCCACGGCUAACUACGUG